rnacentral:rRNA from 1 species
UACGUAGGUGGCAAGCGUUAUCCGGAAUUACUGGGUGUAAAGGGCGUGUAGGCGGGGAGGCAAGUCAGAUGUGAAAUUCCGGGGCUCAACCCCGGAGCUGCAUCUGAAACUGUUUCUCUUGAGUACUGGAGAGGAAAGUGGAAUUCCUAGUGUAGCGGUGAAAUGCGUAGAGAUUAGGAGGAACACCAGUGGCGAAGGCGGCUUUCUGGACAGUAACUGACGCUGAGGCGCGAAAGUGUGGGGAGCGAACAGGAUUAGAUACCCUGGUAGUCCACACUGUAAACGAUGGAUACUAGGUGUAGGGGGUAUCGACCCCCCCUGUGCCGGAGUUAACACAAUAAGUAUCCCACCUGGGGAGUACGGCCGCAAGGUUGAA